rnacentral:rRNA from 1 species
AGUGAACGCUGGCGGUAGGCCUAACACAUGCAAGUCGAACGGCAGCACAGGAGAGCUUGCUCUCUGGGUGGCGAGUGGCGGACGGGUGAGGAAUACAUCGGAAUCUACUCUGUCGUGGGGGAUAACGUAGGGAAACUUACGCUAAUACCGCAUACGACCUACGGGUGAAAGCAGGGGAUCUUCGGACCUUGCGCGAUUGAAUGAGCCGAUGUCGGAUUAGCUAGUUGGCGGGGUAAAGGCCCACCAAGGCGACGAUCCUUAGCUGGUCUGGGAGGAUGAUCAGCAACACUGGAACUGAGACACGGUCCAGACUCUUACGGGAGGCAGCAGUGGAGAAUAUUGGACAAUGGGCGCAAGCCUGAUCCAGCCAUACCGCGUGGGUGAAGAAGGCCUUCGGGUUGUAAAGCCCUUUUGUUGGGAAAGAAAUCCAGCUGGCUAAUACCCGGUUGGGAUGACGGUACCCAAAGAAUAAGCACCGGCUAACUUCGUGCCAGCCGCCGCCGUAA